CCUACGGGGGGCAGCAGUGGGGAAUAUUGCACAAUGGGGGAAACCCUGAUGCAGCAACGCCGCGUGAGUGAAGAAGUAUUUCGGUAUGUAAAGCUCUAUCAGCAGGGAAGAAGAUGAUGGUAUCUGAGUAAGAAGCACCGGCUAACUACGUGCCAGCAGCCGCGGUAAUACGUAGGGGGCAAGCGUUAUCCGGAUUUACUGGGUGUAAAGGGAGCGUAGACGGUGAGGCAAGUCUGAAGUGAAAGCCUGGGGCUCAACCCCGGGACUGCAUUGGAAACUGCCUGACUAGAGUGCUGGAGAGGUAAGUGGAAUUCCUAGUGUAGCGGUGAAAUGCGUAGAUAUUAGGAAGAAUACCAGUGGCGAAGGCGGCUUGCUGGACAAUAACUGACGCUGAGGCACGAAAGCGUGGGGAGCAAACAGGAUUAGAUACCCUUGUAGUC
rnacentral:rRNA from 1 species